rnacentral:tRNA from 2 species
UCCGGGGUAGCUCAGCGGUAGAGCGAGGGACUGUUAAUCCCCAGGUCGAGGGUUCGAAUCCCUCCCCCGGAGCCA